rnacentral:lncRNA from 1 species
UCUCUCCACUUUCAUUACGAAAUCUGAUUUCACUCUCUCUCCUCUCUUCACUCUCUAUUUGGCCGAAACUAGGAAGAAAAAAAGGGAAGAAAAAAAACCUAGCCAAAAUCCUCACAACCUUGCUUCAAUCCACUUCCAAAUUUCAUCAUCCAUUAGAGGGCUUUGAUCCUAGCUUGGAAAAGGGGGCUGUUCAUCGGUUUUCUUGGAGGAAUUUCGGUCAAAAUUUCUGCCCUAAAGCUGUCCAACUAAGUUCUUGAGGUAACUCACUCACCCACACUUCAAUCUUGCAAAAUUGUAGCUCAAAUGGAGCAAAGGUAGCAUGGGUUUGCAACCUAUGGUAGAAUUUGGGUUGAUUGGUUGAGUAAUUAUUUUCUUGCAAUUUCAUGACAUGCGUGAGGGCUUGAGGAUGCUUAUUGGUGGCUGAUUUGAUGAAUUAACAUGUUUUGGUUGCUGAUAUUGUGCUAUGUUACAUGUAUAUAGAAUGAUUGAUGGAAUGAAGUUGGAAGAAAGUUAGAAAUUUGGAGAAGGUAUUGUCCGAAAUUUCAAGGACUUGCUGCCCUGUUUUGCUUUGAUAUUUUCGUGCAUAAUUUGGCUACAAAUGUGAGUGAUAUAUGUUAUGUUAUGUGUGUGGUGGUUGUCUACAUAAAAAAAUUAGCCAAUUUGGUUGGAUAAAUUUUGAAUUAUGAGCAAAGAGGCAAAACUGGACUAGGUCCAGAAAUUUUCUGACCAGUGAUCUUGUGGAGAUCAUAACGUUUUUCUCGAUGAUCAAAAUUGAGUUCCGUUUGUGGUAUUUGAAAGUAGACUCUUAGAGCUUUAAAAUGGUACUAAGCCCAUUUUCUAGUUCGUCCGAGCGAUUCGUGACGAGUCUUGAAAGUUGACUGCCUGUUUAUUACUAUUCAUCCGAGACUGUCCAGAAAAUCCAUUUUGUUGCUUGAUUUUGAACCACUUAUGUCUGGAUUUUGGAAAUGAUUUCUUCUACACAAAUAUAGCCUUGUAAACCUAGUUUCUAAAGCCACCAACCAUUUUCAAUUUCACUGAGAAUCGAGUGAGAUACAGCCUAAUUAGCGAAGGGCAUUAAAUCUGGAAAAUUCCUGGAAAGGCCAACAGUCCAGGAAUUUUAGCGAAACUUCAACUUUUAUUUCUUGAGCUAGGAACAUCAGAACCGAGUUCCAUUUUUUUGAUUUGAAACCUGGAUUGGAACUUUACCUGCAUAUCAAAUUUCAAAGGCUGGUUUUGAUUCUAUGAUUUUGGCAAAAUUCCAAAGUUAUUGGAAAAACUUGGACUGUUUUGACCUAUCUUCAAUGAAUAAUAAACUUUCUUGGAGAAAUUGACUUGUUUCUGAUUUGAUUCUUGGAAAGUAACCUUCUACAAAGUUGUUAUGCUUUGAAUGAAGUUUCUGACGGUGUAAAAUUUUCUAUUUUUAGACUUUCCAAACUUCCGGACUGAUUUUUUCCAAGAAUAACUCGAAAAGUGAAAAUUUCCAAUUUGGACCUAAAUGUUCUUUUAAGGGCCUAGGUUACAUUUUUACAACUCUUAGAGCAUUUCAAACCUAUUUUCAUGGUGAACUUGAGUUCACCUAUCACUUGAGACCUCAUUUGAAAGUCGGUUCCUUAUGAAUUGAAAUACUUUGGAAACUUGAAUUUUGGAGUCAAAAUUGACUAUUUCUUUUCUUUACACGAAUACUGUAUGGCCUGGAAUUUGAUAUACAAUGCCUUAUUGCAUACCUUCAGGAUCUCAAGAGGAUUUCGAGGAACUCCCGGUGAAGCGUCUUAGAGCUAAUUUCUCAAACUUUGACUUUUGAUACUUGGUGAGUGUCAAGUGCAUGUUUACUUGUACUUCACUUGAGAUUUGUUGCCUACAUGAACUCUACUUGAACUUGUUGUUACAUGAACUAUACUUGUUGAGGGAAGUGUGUACUUUACCGCACUUUAUCUCCUUUACUGGGAUCAAUAUAUGACUUGCUACAUGAAUUACAUGAAACUACUAGAUUUUACAUGUACGUGACCUGAAGUCGAAUGCAGAGAAAGUCUCAUCGACUAAAACUUGAUCUGUUUUUGAAAACCUGACCUGUGGAGACACCUAAACCCAAUGGUUAAACCUUGUAAUCUCGCAGCCAAUCGUGAGGUCUUGGUCGGGAAAACUUGGUAAACCCUGGGACCUGAAACUUGAUCUUUUGAGAUCUUGCUUGGCAUACUUGUAUAGUAUCGCCUUUACAUGCCUGUUGGUUACGGAUCCGAGAGGGUGAAAUGAUGGAUGGAUGGAAGUAAGUAGAGAUCUACAGAUUGGAUAUUUAUUCCGUUGACGGAGUGUCAACCCCUGAUUCGUGGAUCGGGACUAUGGCAAAUAAUCUGGAAAUGAGCUCCGGAGAGGUCCAAUAUUCUUGAAUUGUUUGUAUUUAUGAGUACUUGCCGAUACUUGAAACUACAUGACAAUUACUUUUGAUCACUUGAUCAUAUUACUUGAACUACAUGCGCAUGUUAUAUAUAUGUAUUUUGUUUUUUUUCCUGGCCUCACUGAGCGAUUGCUCACCCCAUUAGUUGUUUUCCUUAACAGGAAUCUGGAUCGGAGAUGUUUUGAAGAGAUCGACUUGUUUUUGAUAUUUUAGAACUUUGGAAAUGAAAUUUAAGGGCUGGUUAUGGACUUGUAUUUUGGAAAUCUGAAUGUAUAUAUUGGAUUCUUGUGUUGUAAGUUUGAAUAUAUCGACGGAAACGAAUUUUAUUUAAUUUGUCCUUUUAGC